AUUGAACGCUGGCGGCAGGCCUAACACAUGCAAGUCGAACGAGAGGCGGACGGGUGAGUAAUGUCUGGGAAACUGCCCGCUGGAGGGGGAUAACUACUGGAAACGGUAGCUAAUACCGCAUCCCAUAGGAUGUGACCAGAUGGGAGUAGCUAGUAGGUGGGGUAACGGCUCACCUAGGCGAGGAUCCCUAGCUGGUGUGAGAGGAUGAUCAGCCACACUGGGACUGAGACACGGCCCAGACUCCUACGGGAGGCAGCAGUGGGGAAUAUUGCACAAUGGGCGCAAGCCUGAUGCAGCCAUGCCGCGUGUAUGAAGAAGGCCUUAGGGUUGUAAAGUACUUUCAGCGGGGAGGCGUUACCCGCAGAAGAAGCACCGGCUAACUCCGUGCCAGCAGCCGCGGUAAUUC
rnacentral:rRNA from 1 species